CUCGUUUCAGAAUAUAAAUCGCCUUGUUUACAUGAAAGCUUAUCUCAUAAAUUAACACAGCUGGUUUCAACGUUUGACUCCAAUUAAAAUAAUUACGCAUAUAUAAAGAUAAAUACAAAUGUAUUAGCAGCUUGUAAUUAUUGUGUGCAAGGAAGUAUUCAAAUUCUCAUUAAAAUAGCUUGCGUCCAGUGAUAACGCAUCAUAUGUAACAUAUCU
rnacentral:lncRNA from 1 species